GGCACCACAAUACUUCUUAAUAUCACUCAAUCCUUUCUCAUAUCACUUACCGCAAACCAUAUACCUCUCUUUCCAUUUCAUAUCUCAAACCGCCAUUCCAUUUCUCUGAACCAAUUCACCUCAGACCGCAACACCAUUUCAUUUCCUCUCAACCUCGUAACCAUCGACGAAGAGUGAGAGAGGAACCGAGAAACUACAACAUUCUGCUCCUAUCCGUAAGCUUGAGGGAAGAAAAGGAGAAGUCGUGCGUGAGUUCAUUCUUCAACCUCCAUUUCAAUCAGCUGCAAUCCACCUCCAACAGCAACCUUUCAGCUAUCACCGUCACGAGUAAAAACCAGAACCAAUUUCCAGGCCGCGAGCUAGUCGAAAAAAUUUUUGACAGAUCGUUUGUCGCGUGCGCUGAGUGUUUCACCGAGGUGCUCAAGCUAGUCUUGAAGAGAAUCCCGGAGAGGACAACUAACGAUUCUCUCGCUCAAUUACUCUUGAAUUGUUCUGGAAAUUGAGAGCUUUACAAUUUACUUAGAUUUUCUUAUGGAUGUAAAUGAAAUCUAUGACUUCGCUUGGUGGUUUGUAAUGUCUAAUGUUACUUAUGCCAUGUAUCGGAUUGGAAAUAUGUUAAGCUAGGUGUACUUAAGACUUUAGAUUGCCACUUGAAGCUGGAAAGGUGCAAUCCCUGAUUCAUACAUUCGGUUUGUAUGUACGUAUUGGUGUUGUAUGAACUUGUAUGUUUGGGAUGGUGUGACUUUAGACUUGGUUUGUAAUCGAGAAGGUAUUUUGAGAAUCGACGAUUGGUUAUCUUUUA